CAAAACCGGCUGGGGUCAGACUGCCCCAAAGCUGGACCGGGGCGCUGGGGGGAAGAAAGUCCUGUGGUCCGUGGACCGGGAACUGCGCUCUGAAAAGCCGACCUACGGAGUCCUUCCGUACUACCAGGGGAGAAACCGCCAAGUGCGCGCAUCCCAGAGCGGCCCACACCCCGCGCCUUGGCCCGCCAGCUUCCGCCUCGCCCGGGGGCCUCGCAAUCCCGGACCUUCCCCCACUUCCUAGCCGAAGUUGCCUCGACCCCGCCCCGCCUCGGGCCGCAGUCCGGCCUUAACCCGUUGCAGGGCAGCCCAGCCCCGCUUCACCCUGCUGUCCCUGUUGGCGUACGUGUCCCAGGAUCAGCCUAACAGGAAAAUUACAGUCGUUUAUAGAUUAAAAAGUUGCAGAACUUGUUGAAGGUUUAUGAGAACAUCAUGACCAGACCUACCGUGGACAGCUGCAAGAACAAAGGAUUAUCACAGACCUCUGAGUCUGGCCAGUACCAAGGGACCUGCAACAACCAGCCACAACCCUUCCCCUUUUGGUGUAAAAGAAGCCUGAAUUCUAACUCAGAAAGAGAAAACCUGCACGCCACAACUAGAGAGAAGCCCGCGCGCCGCAGUGAAGAGCCCACGCACCGCAAUGGAAGAUCCCGCAUGCUACAACGAAGAUGCUACAACGA